CAUCACCAUUAGACAGGAGACCCUUUCCCUCUGCCCUAUGCCCAGCCCAUUUAAUCCCCAAAACCAUCGUCUCUUCCAAACCCAGACCAAGGCCAGGAGAGGGAUCACCCCCCAGC